GUGCUUGCUUCGGCAGCACAUAAUCUAAAAUUGGGACAAUACAGAGAAGGUUAGCAUGGCCCCUGUGCAAGGAUGACAUGCAGAUUUGUGAAGCAUUCCAUAUUUUU
ensembl:snRNA U6 U6 spliceosomal RNA